GAGCAGGACUUUGAAGACUAAGCAGAAGUUCAAAAACCAGAUAAAGCAGGAUGGAACUUUGCUAGGAGAGAAACAGUUCACGCAAAUGAUCUCAGGCAUGAAGCAGCCAGGAACUAAACAGAAUUAGCUCCGCUCUCCUUCUCCUAAAAUAGAAACUUGCAAGGACGUUGACUUUGAGGACAGGGAGUAUGCAUUUAUGAAAAACAUACUAUAUGACAAGGACUGAGCUAGUUUUUGGUUUUGUUUUUUAAACUGCAACUAUAUUACAAAUAAGAAACCGGAGUCUCAGGGUAGGAGAUUGGGGAGAACAUGGUCAUUCAUCAUGUGCUAUGGAUUUUACACACAAGCUCUCAGUUCAUCUUGAUCACUGCCCUGUGAAAUAUGAUAUUACAUCCAUUUUGCCUGAGAGACCACUGAGGUUCCAAGAGGUCAAGUAAUCUGCCAAGGAUUCCAACCCAGUUCUGUCUUACUCCAAACUCAAGGUGCUAAAUAAAAUCAGCAGAGGAUAUGACAAGACAGGAUUGCUAUCUCAAGGGACUCAAACUCCAUCUGAGGAAGAUGUAAAUACAUAAGGCACCCCAUGGGUGUCUGACGGACAUUUAAACAAAGACCCAAGGAAGCAGAGUAAUCUUAGGUGUUGCCAUUUUUUUUUAAGA